UUAUGGCCAUACCACGUUGAAAUAUCGGUUCCCGUACGAUCAGCGAAGUUAAGCAACGUCGAACCUGGUCAGUACCUGCAUGGGUGACCGCUUGCGAAUGUCAGGUGCUGUAA